CAUUGAUUCUAAAUGAAUUAUGAUAGUACAGCUUUGUAUAGAAAAUUUGAUUAAAGGCCUCAUGGUAAUAAUAAACAUCAAGCAUUUCCCCACUUUUAUAGAUGAAGAAAUUAUCUCAGAGUAGUCAAAUAAUGUACCCGGACUCACAACAAAGGGAUAGAGCUGGGGUUCUCUGACUUGGUGUUGAUUGAAUUUCCUGCCUCAGAGAUUACUGAAGCACUGACAAGGUGCAGACCGGAAGCUCUAGAAACACAUCCAAGUGGAGAAGCAUGAGGAAGAACACAGAUCCUGGCUGUCUUGCAGGUAGGAAGGAUCCAAAGAUGAGAAGGAAAAGCACCAUGGUUCUCAAUGGAAAAUAUGUGGUCAAGGUCCACCCAUGCAUAAAGGUUUACUGUGGCAUUUGAGAGAGGAGAGAAGAAGAAAUCACUUUUUAGGAUUUUCCAGUGUGAGGGAGCCUUCCAGACUUUCAGAAGAAAUAAAUCCCAGGAUAGAUGAGGCUGACAUCGCAUCCCUCCCUAGUCAGUCCUAUUCUAUCACCACUGGCUGUGUGCCAAGGAAAUUGACCUUCUACUCUUCAUCUUCAAUUUUCUCAUGUCCAAAACUUCUAGGACAAUAACAACAUACACCACAGGAUUGUUAUGAGAAAUAAAU
rnacentral:lncRNA from 12 species